rnacentral:rRNA from 1 species
GAUGAACGCUGGCGGCGUGCCUAAUACAUGCAAGUCGAGCGAACAGACGAGGAGCUUGCUCCUCUGACGUUAGCGGCGGACGGGUGAGUAACACGUGGAUAACCUACCUAUAAGACUGGGAUAACUUCGGGAAACCGGAGCUAAUACCGGAUAAUAUGUUGAAUCGCAUGGUUCAACAGUGAAAGACGGUCUUGCUGUCACUUAUAGCUGGAUCCGCGCCGCAUUAGCUAGUUGGUAAGGUAACGGCUUACCAAGGCAACGAUGCGUAGCCGACCGGAGAGGGUGAUCGGCCACACGGGAACUGAGACACGUUCCAGACUCCUACGGGAGGCAGCAGUAGGGAUACUGCCGCAUGGGGCGAAAGCCUGACGGAGCAUCGCCGCGUGAGUGAAGAAGGGCUUCGGAUCGUAAAACGCUGUUAUGAGGGAAGAACAAAUGUGUAAGUAACGAUGCACGUCUGGACGGUACCGAAGCAGAAAGCCACGGCUAACUACGU